UACAGAGGGUGCGAGCGUUAAUCGGAAUUACUGGGCGUAAAGGGCUCGUAGGUGGCCAACUAAGUCAGACGUGAAAUCCCUCGGCUCAACCGGGGAACUGCGUCCGAUACUGGAUGGCUUGAAUCCGGGAGAGGGAUGCGGAAUUCCAGGUGUAGCGGUGAAAUGCGUAGAUAUCUGGAGGAAUACCGGUGGCGAAGGCGGCAUCCUGGACCGGCAUUGACGCUGAUGAGCGAAAGCUAGGGGAGCAAACGGG
rnacentral:rRNA from 1 species